GCUGGGUGUGGUGGUGCACACCUGUAAUCCCAACUACUCGGGAGGCUGAGGUGGGAGUAUUGCUUGAACCUGGGAGGUGGAGGUUGCAGUGAACGGAGAUUGUGCCACUGCACUCCAGCCUGGGUGACAAAGCAAGACUCUAUCUCAA
ensembl:misc_RNA Metazoa_SRP Metazoan signal recognition particle RNA